GUGGAUUAGAUACCCUAGUAGUCCAUGCUGUAAACGAUGCAGACUAGGUCUUGGGACAUUCGACCGUUUCAGGGCUCAAGCUAACGCGAUAAGUCUGCCGCCUGAGGACUACGGUCGCAAGACUAAAACUCAAAGGAAUUGACGGGGGCCCGCACAAGCGGUGGAGCAUGUGGCUUAAUUCGAUGCAACGCGAAGAACCUUACCUAGGCUUGACAUGGUUUGGAACCUCGGAUGAAAGUUUGAGGGCCCUUCGGGGCUGAACCACAGGUGCUGCACGGUUGUCGUCAACU
rnacentral:rRNA from 1 species